UACGUAGGGUGCAAGCGUUGUCCGGAAUUAUUGGGCGUAAAGAGCUCGUAGGCGGUUUGUCGCGUCUGCUGUGAAAACUCGGGGCUUAACUCCGGGCCUGCAGUGGGUACGGGCAGACUAGAGUGCGGUAGGGGAGACUGGAAUUCCUGGUGUAGCAGUGAAAUGCGCAGAUAUCAGGAGGAACACCGGUGGCGAAGGCGGGUCUCUGGGCCGUAACUGACGCUGAGGAGCGAAAGCGUGGGGAGCGAACAGG
rnacentral:rRNA from 1 species